AUACGGAGGAUGCGAGCGUUAUCCGGAUUUAUUGGGUUUAAAGGGAGCGUAGGCGGGAGCUUAAGUCAGCGGUUAAAUGGUGCGGCUCAACCGUGCCCUGCCGUUGAAACUGGGUUUCUUGAGAGUGCAAGAGGCGGAUGGAAUUCCUGGUGUAGCGGGGAAAUGCUUAGAUAUCAUGAAGAACUCCGAUUGCGAAGGCAGUCCGCUGGGGCACGUCUGACGCUGAUGCUCGAAGGUGCGGGAAUCAAACAGGAUUAGAUACCCUGGUAGUCCGCACGGUAAACGAUGAUUACCCGCUGUCGGCGGUAGACAGUCGGCGGCCAAGCGAAAGCGAUAAGUAAUCCACCUGGGGAGUACGCCGGCAACGGUGAAACUCAAAUGAAUUGGCGGGG
rnacentral:rRNA from 1 species